rnacentral:misc_RNA from 1 species
AUAAGCCAUAACUCAUAAUCGACUUCGUGGUUUUUUUUUCUAUUUUAAUCAAAUUUUCUUUAAAAGGAAAAAAAUAUAAAAAUCAGAAUCCGCCAAACAACAGCAAGGUGCGAGGAGGAGGAGAAGAAGCAUAGUAUCAUGGGAAGGGAAUAGCUGGAUUCCUGAGAAGACGACGCAGGAGACUCUGGAUUUCAGGCCAACAUCUUUACUCACUUUAUAAUUACCUAACUUAAACCCUUAGUCCUUAUCUCUGUCUCUCCCAAUUUUUUUCUUCUCUUUUCUUUAAUUAACAUUGGCGAAUUCUGUUCUGGUUUAUGCAAGAUUCAUUCGCUUUCGGAAACUGUUAAAACAAGAGAGGUUAGUUCAUUUCCACGAAAUCUAAUUGCUUAAUUGCUCUUGCUCUGUGUUUUAAUUCGUAAUUAUGCUACUGAAAUUUUCUCUUUCUCUAAUAUCGUACUUCUUGUUCUCUUCUGCGUAAUAAUUGUUGGCUGGUGGAGAUACUUUGGAUCCUCUUCUAUCCUUUUUGUAACUGGGGUUCUAGAAACUUGUAGAAGUAGAUUCUCACUUUUAAAAAAAUAAAAAUAACUUGUUCAACUUUGUUGGUCUGCUCGAUGGUCUCAGUCCCAGUUUCUCAAACAACAGUGAUUUCAAAUUCUCUAAUAACUAGUUUUGGAAUACUCUGCUUCUACUUGAUUUAGGAAUUCCAAUACAAGGAAAUAUGGAUACGACGUCGUGUGUUCGAUCCAUGGAUCAGGCCGUCGAAGAGAUCAUGAGAAUUCAUAGAUCGUUACCGACGAGACCUGGGAUCGACGAGGUGGAAGCCGCCAGCGCAUUGAUUCUGAACGUUGACAAAGAAGACCAGGCUAGACUUGAAUCCAUUUCCAGGCAAACUAAGAGCCCUGAUGUACCGGAAGAGCUUUUUACAAUCUUGCAGGAGAUGCAGAAGAAUUUGGUUUAUUUCCAGAGCAAGGAGCAGAAGAGGGAGGCUUUGAAAUUGCUCGAUCUCGAAAGUGUUCAUGCUCUGUUCGAUGAAUUUAUCCAGAGAGCUUCCAAAUGCUUGCCUUCUUCUUCUUCUUCUUCAACCGUGUCCCCUUCUUCGUACUCCAAUUAUGCUAACGGCUCUGCUUCCACAGUUUCUAGCAGCAGUUUCUCUAGCGCCAGUGCGCUAACUUCCGUUAACAAAUCCUCUGUUGCUGCACCCUCAAACUUGUACUAUUCUGAGCAAAACCCUGCCAGGACUGCGGAAUUUUUUACCCGAGAUGAUAGUUAUGUGAAGAAGGCCAAGUCGUCAUUUUACUCUGAUGGAAUUGGCAUUUCGUCUAAGCCCCAGAUAGUGGAUUCCACUCUAAAAACUACUGUAACUACUACUGGUCAAGAUGGUGACAAGUUGAGUCUAAUAAAGCUUGCUAGUUUAAUUGAAGUCUCUGCCAAGAAAAACACUAGAGAUCUCAAUCUCCAAAACAAACUGAUGGAUCAGAUUGAAUGGCUACCAGACUCAAUAGGCAAGUUGUCAAACUUGGUUUCACUAGAUUUGUCUGAGAACAGGAUAGUGGCCCUGCCAGCCACUAUUGGAGGCCUUUUGUCCUUGACAAAGCUGGAUUUGCAUUCUAACAGAAUUGCUGAACUCCCAGAAUCUAUUGGAGAUAUUCUUAGCCUAGUCUUUUUGGACCUGAGGGCUAACCAGUUAUCAUCUCUGCCUUCUACGUUUAGCAGAUUGGUACGACUUAAAGAGCUUGAUUUGAGCUCAAAUCGGCUAUCUUCGCUCCCUGAAUCGAUUGGUUCACUUAUUAGCCUGAAGAAGCUAAAUGUGGAGACCAAUGAUAUUGAAGAACUUCCUCAUACAAUUGGUCGAUGUUCUUCGCUAAGGGAGCUUCAUGCGGAUUAUAACAGGCUUAAGGCACUCCCAGAAGCUGUAGGAAAGAUAGAAACCUUAGAGGUUUUGUCUGUGCGCUAUAAUAACAUCAAACAGCUACCUACAACUAUGUCAUCUCUAUCAAACCUGAAGGAGCUCGAUGUGAGUUUCAACGAGCUUGAGUCGGUGCCUGAGAGCUUGUGUUUUGCCACCUCACUUGUCAAGAUGAAUAUAGGAAACAAUUUUGCUGAUCUACAGUCCCUACCAAGAUCUAUUGGGAAUCUUGAGAAUCUUGAAGAGUUGGAUAUUAGCAACAACCAAAUACGAGUCCUUCCAGACUCCUUCAGGAUGCUAACACGACUACGUAUCCUACGUGUAGAAGAAAAUCCUUUGGAAGUUCCACCAAGACAUAUAGCUGAAAAAGGUGCUCAGGCUGUUGUUCAAUACAUGGCUGAGCUUGUUGAAAAGAAGGACGUCAAAACACAGCCCAUAAAGCAGAAAAAGAGUUGGGCUCAGAUAUGCUUCUUUUCGAGGUCUAACAAAAGGAAGCGCAGUGGCAUGGACUAUGUGAAAGCUUGAUUGCUGCAAAUGUAACAAGAUUAUGACAGGACCUUUAUGUUGGGUAAAUUGCUGGAAAAUCUUCAUCAUGUCCAAUUCAUUAAUAUAAUUAGAAUCACGAUAUUUUGUAAGUAUCAUAAAGAUUUUGCUAGGGUCUUUGCUUGAAUCUUUAGACAAUGGUUAGGCUGGAUUGUACAGAGGAAGGAAAAGAAGAGAGGGGGGGUGGGGGUGGUGUUCUUGGGGGAUGGUUAGCAGAAUUUUAACAAGGCACAGCUGUUACUAAAGCAAAUUUUGAUGAAGUCAUGCUGCAAGAGACUCGUGUGUUUUUGUUUUGUUUUUUGUGUUUCUUACAGGGAUUUGGCAGUUUAUAAAGCAGAGAUCCUAGUGCAACUAAAAAUCUAUCAAUCAAACAGGGGACUCGGUUUGUAAAUCAUGGCUCUUACUCUUGCUUCUCAAAUUGUAGUUUUACUUUUUUGUCCCCCUUUUAUUUAUUUAUUAUUUUGUAUUAAUUGCUUGCAAUUUUACUGCAUUUGUAUCUGUUGUUCUUGAACUGUAAUGAGGUGUACAAUUCAGCCGGCAGAUAGGAGGGGAAGAAUAUACUGUUCUCUGUGUCCAUCAUUGUUGUGUGAAGUUUGACUUGAGUUUUUGUUUUCACCACUUCAAUAUAAUCCCUUUCCUUUGAAUCAGAUUUUAGAUUCAAUAGAAUUUAGAAUCCAGUUUUGUGAUUUUGUCUUAUUAAUGGUUGAAAUUGUUUUAAAGUUUUUUUGCAAGUGAUAAUUAUCAAUCCGUAUGGUCAACUUUUCAAUGUAGACGGGUGAAUUUCUCCACCACGCAUUCAAACGAUGGAAAUGCAAUUGAUGUAAGCAGACAUUACAUGGCCUAGGAAGGCAAAAUCAAUUAAUUAUUAAUCAUUAAUUUUUCAUUUGUUAAUUGUUAUGCUUCAAUAUGACCUUGCUUUCUUGCUGGAAGGGUCGUAAUACGGAGGUAUUUUGAUUUUUUAACUCUUUUUAAGUAGUGAAAAAUGUUGCAAGGUAAAACUUUUUUUUUUCUUCUUUCCUUUACAACUUUGUAUCUUAUAUUCCUUCUAGAACUUGGGAUCAAUUUUUAUUUUCUUAGU